AUAUUGUGCAGCUUACCUGAGGUACCAAAAAAAAAAAAAAAGGUUAAACAAUUAAGUUAAGCCAUCAAGUGAAUAAUGAAGUGAUGUAGACUGUCAUUGUGGAUUUCUCCAGAACAAGCUCUCCAAGUGAGACGGGUUGAACUUCACAUAUUGUCUGUAAGAAGAAUUAGGAUGAGCUGUCUCCCUCCCUUGAAGACUAUGUGUCACUAUGGGGCUCCUAAGCAAGCUUGGAACAUCUAAAUGUCAUAUAACAUGGAAGGAUUAGAAGCAAAAGCCAAAGAAAGUUAAUCCAUUAAGUAUAUAAAGGAAGAAUGAACAGCUCUGGAAGGUGGACCAGUAAGAUAAAGAAAUGAUGUCCAGUGUGAGAGAAUUGUGGGGCAAAAAUGAGAGAAGGAAUGCAACUUUGACAGUUUUCAAGAACAAAGCCUAUCUUCAGUUGGCUAUAGGAAUGAACAGCCUUUGCAAUGGAUGUUUUAUAUUUGGAAAAACAAAUCUCACGCUGGGACAAAACUUCAGAAGCUCAAAAAUGAACAUGAGGCAAAAUUUCUAGGAGAAAAGAAGGGAAAGCUUUACCAGCUUCCUAGUAACGCGGCUUCUGGGAAAGUCUUGCCCAGAAGCCAACACAGGAAGCUAUUGGAAAAGUCUAGAAUGCUGCUACACAUGUAUUUCAGUCAGCUUGGAAGAACUGUGUUUAGUCAGCAUGCUUUAUGUGCGUGGCAUGCCAAUGCCAGCUGGCUGUAGAGAGUUUACCUUCACUGUCCUACUGUCUUGAUUGCCAGCUGCCCCGGGAAGUGGUAAACUUUACCAGACCCCUAAUGAGCUUGGAUGGUGGCUAAGAACUCUGCCAGUUACACAGAUUAAAACAAACCAAUAAAAACAACUAAUAGCUCAAGAGAUUAAGCAACACAGGAGCUGGCUAGAUAAAAGGCUUUGGCAGCCAGGCACUCAGAAGACGAGUGGCGGGCGGAGUGACCAAAAAUGAAUUUUUUUUUUUCAAAGGUUGCAAUAUGCAAUAAUUGGCAUGUCCCUGUUGAAUGUUUUGAUUCUGUUAAGUCCGUUAUUUUCUGACUGAUUUCUGAUAAUGUCCAAAUUUCUGAUAAUCUCCAAACCU
rnacentral:lncRNA from 7 species